GCAGAGCAUAGUCUCACGCUUGGCACGCUUGGCACAGAGAAGACGCAUAUUAGACAUGACCAUUCACGCAAGCAGCGCCAUAAAACACACCCCUCUCAGUUCCUCCCAACUCUCGGUCUCUCUUUCUCAGACCCCCGUGUGUGUAUGUGUGUUGUCUUCGUACAGGUCUAACCCAUCUCACCUAGCUAGGUACCGCACUCAAACUCAAUGUGGUCAUCAAUAGGAGUUGAAGAACAAACUUGCUUAAAUAACAAAACCCAGAGCCUCAACAGCGUGUCAUCAUCAUCAUCAUCAUCAUCCUCAACCUCAAAAUCACCAUCAUUAUAUACGUCUUCAUCUUCAUCCCCUUCACCAUUCUCAUCCUCCUCUCUCUACAAAAGUACCCCAAGAAGCACCAAGACCAUGGAAGAGGUUUGGAAGGACAUCGAUCUUGCUUCUCUUCAAGACCAAGAUACAAUCCGCCAACCUCACCCUAGCUCCAACUUUCGCGGUGUGAUUCUCCAAGACUUUCUUGCUCGACCUUUUAGCAAAGACCCACCUGCCAGCAUGGUCUCCUCCUCCACCAACACUAGAGAGACUGCUCUCUAUGCCGCUGCUGAAGGCUCACUGUUGCCACCUCCUGCCACUGUUUUGAGCUUGAAUUCGGGUUGUGAAUUUCAUUUUCUUGAUAACUCUGACCCAGUACUUAGGCCUAGCUCACAUUUACAAUCACACCCAAGUUCUAAUGUUUCCUCUUUCAGUAGCCAAUUUGAGGCCCUGGCUUCCUCUUCUGGCUUGCCAUCUUCUGCUAAGAAGAGGGUUCCAGAAUCUGAAAAUUGCUCCGGGGAUCGGCGACAUAAGCGUAUGAUCAAGAACAGAGAGUCCGCUGCUCGAUCGAGAGCUAGAAAGCAGGAAUGCCUACACAAACGAGUUGGAACUUGAAGUUGCUCACUUGAUGGAAGAGAAUGCAAGACUUAAGAAACAGCAAGAACAGCAGUUGCGAUUGGCCGCAGCCGCUCAACUUCCCAAAAAGCACUCGCUCCACCGAACGUCAACAGCUCCAUUUUGAGAAUCAUCAAUGCCUUCCUUUUCACAAUUUCCCUCUUAUACCUCAGCACAGUCCCUUUUGAGUUAGAGAGAAAUAGAAAGAAAGGGUAUUUAUGGAUUUCAAUGUUUUUGUAAGU